rnacentral:rRNA from 1 species
UACGAAGGGUGCAAGCGUUACUCGGAAUUACUGGGCGUAAAGCGUGCGUAGGUGGUGAGUUAAGUCUGAUGUGAAAUCCCCAGGCUCAACCUGGGAAUGGCAUUGGAUACUGGCUCGCUAGAGUGCGGUAGAGGGUGGUGGAAUUCCACGUGUAGCAGUGAAAUGCGUAGAGAUGUGGAGGAAUACCGAUGGCGAAGGCAGCCUCCUGGGCCAACACUGACGCUCAUGCACGAAAGCGUGGGGAGCAAACAGG